rnacentral:rRNA from 1 species
GAUGAACGCUGGCGGCGUGCCUAAUACAUGCAAGUCGAGCGAACGGACGAGAAGCUUGCUUUUCUGAUGUUAGCGGCGGACGGGUGAGUAACACGUGGAUAACCUACCUAUAAGACUGGGAUAACUUCGGGAAACCGGAGCUAAUACCGGAUAAUAUUUUGAACCGCAUGGUUCAAAAGUGAAAGACGGUCUUGCUGUCACUUAUAGAUGGAUCCGCGCUGCAUUAGGUAGUUGGUAAGGUAACGGCUUACCAAGGCAACGAUGCAUAGCCGACCUGAGAGGGUGAUCGGCCACACUGGAACUGAGACACGGUCCAGACUCCUACGGGAGGCAGCAGUAGGGAAUCUUCCGCAAAGGGCGAAAGCCUGACGGAGCAACGCCGCGUGAGUGAUGAAGGUCUUCGGAUCGUAAAACUCUGUUAUUAGGGAAGAACAUAUGUGUAAGUAACUGUGCACAUCUUGACGGUACCUAAUCAGAAAGCCACGGCUAACUACGUG